rnacentral:lncRNA from 1 species
CCUAUCAUUUGCUAAGCUGCUUUCACCUUGGACGUCCAGUGGCAGUGCUAUGACUGAUGUCAUUUUUUUUUUUUUUUUAGUUGUCACUUUUACAUCAGAAACGCAAGAGACAUGUGUGUGCAUCACGUGUUGAUUUUGCUUCCCGAAACUGUAACAUUUACUCUACUCACUUGGCUUGAGGAGACUGAAUGAAUUACUGGGCGAGAAGAGGCUGUAGGCGCGUCCCUUGAUCCCACACUUUUCCUCCUGGGGAAGGUACACCACCGAGCCAUCCUUAGUGACUGCCGUGGCCAUGCCAGCGGCUCGGUGAUGGCGCGGGUGCCACUGUUCCCGGGCACUGGUCGUUCACCUCACACUCUACAGAUCAAGACCCUUGCACGAGAAAUUCCAGCGUUGAGAAACGGUUACUUGACUCAAAUGUGUCAGUGAGUCAGACUCCAGUCACCACAGCACAGUAAAGUUGUUAAAGGCUGCGAUGAUCCUGUAUGAUCCUACGAGCCCGAGAGAGAUGCCUGCGGUGUUCUCACAAGUGUUGCAGUUGCUUGGGCAGUGGAGAGUUCCUUACUGUUGGUAUUAUGCAGCUUUGGAUCUCCUCUGAUAUCCACUGGUUGAUGUCAACACUGUCCCUGCCAGGCUGGUACUUCUCUGCUGAGCUGCCUCCCCUGCCUCCCUGUGAGGACUGAGAGACUGGGCAUACCUCGUCAGGGAAAUCUUCACAUCCUUUCAGCAAUGCCUUGUAGCAGAUUGGCAGCCUCCAAGACACUUUUCCUGAUGCCUGGAGGGACACCUGUGCUGCCACAGUACAGGAAGUUGAGGAUGCAAUGCAGGGCUUCUGGCACCACAUGAGGGAUGGUGAUGUCAACACAAGCAUCACGGUGUUCCAGAUUCAACAUUGUUCUCUCCAUGGACUUUAUAUGACCACUCAGCACAUCACUAACACCUUGCAAGCACCUCACGUUCUACACCAGACUCCAGUAGCAUAAGGUGUGGAGGAGCUAGCAAAAUGGACCAAGCUGGAAGUGUUGCAAAAGCUGACUAGUGCUGAAGGAGAACUGUGCAGGAUGCAUGGUUUAUUAUCUAUGCAAGAGGAGAAGCUGGUGGUGGGAUAAGUGCUGAGUUUAAUGUCAUUGUGGGUAGGUGUGCUCAAACAUCCUUGGUGUCCAGAGAGAACAUUUAUUAUGUACUAAUUUGUUUUGUUAAAGAAAACACUACUUUGUAAAAUAAAAUUACUUGGUGUAAAACACAGUACAGUGUUGUACUAAGUUUGUUAAAAAAACACUCUGAAGGCUCUCUGGAGAUUAUGUAGUAAUGUUAGCAGCUAUUAAAUAAAAAUAACUCAUUCCCUUUA